rnacentral:rRNA from 1 species
AGUGAACGCUGGCGGUAGGCCUAACACAUGCAAGUCGAACGGCAGCACAGUAAGAGCUUGCUCUUACGGGUGGCGAGUGGCGGACGGGUGAGGAAUACAUCGGAAUCUACUUUUUCGUGGGGGAUAACGUAGGGAAACUUACGCUAAUACCGCAUACGACCUACGGGUGAAAGCAGGGGAUCUUCGGCCCUUGCGCGAUUGAAUGAGCCGAUGUCGGAUUAGCUAGUUGGAGGGGUAAAGGCCCACCAAGGCGACGAUCCGUAACUGGUCUGAGAGGAUGAUCAGCCACACUGGAACUGAGACACGGUCCAGACUCCUACGGGAGGCAGCAGUGGGGAAUAUUGGACAAUGGGCGCAAGCCUGAUCCAGCCAUACCGCGUGGGUGAAGAAGGCCUUCGGGUUGUAAAGCCCUUUUGUUGGGAAAGAAAAGCAGCAGGUUAAUACCCCGCUGUUCUGACGGUACCCAAAGAAUAAGCACCGGCUAACUUCGUG